rnacentral:rRNA from 1 species
GACGAACCGUGCGAACGUUAUUCGGAAUCACUGGGCUUAAAGAGCGCGUAGGCGGCGUCGUAAGUUGGAGGGGAAAUCCCAUCGGCUCAACCGUGGAACUGCCCCCAAUACUGCGAUGCUUGAGAGAGGUAGGGGCAUGUGGAACUUCCAGUGGAGCGGUGAAAUGUGUUGAGAUUGGAAGGAACGCCAGUGGCGAAAGCGGCAUGCUGGAUCUCUACUGACGCUGAGGCGCGAAAGCUAGGGGAGCGAACGGG